rnacentral:misc_RNA from 1 species
CUGAGUCUUAUCUCAAAAACCCUUUGUGAACCUUUAUAACCUGUUGCUUCGGCGGCGCGGCCCCCGGGUCGUGCCCGCCGGUAUCAUCAGAAUCUCUGUUCGAACCCGACGAUACUCCUGAGUGUUCUAAGCGAACUGUUUA